AAUCACUUGCUCCAUUAAAAUGAUAUAAAAUUACGAGUACGAUAAAAGUUUUGGAAAAUAUGUUUUGUUGAACAGUAAAAUGCGACUAAAUAAUUGCUUUUGGGAUAUUUUUCAGGUACGAGAACACUCGCGCGGUGGAUGUAAGGAUGAAAAAUGUCGAGGGAUGAUUUGGGCCUUAGUGGUCCUGUGGUGGCUGCGUUUGAAUCCUACUGGCCUGCUAAGUCCCAAGUUAUCUCCGGUGUAAGCGCAAUAAUGUCGACCCGAAUGAAAGCACUCAGAAAAUCUUUAUUCUUAAAAAUGGUAACUGUAUUAUAUGAUGAGCUCUUUAAUUGUGCAAAAAAUAUGUGGUUAUCUCGUUCUCUCUUUGUUUUUACUAUUGAUUAAUAAAUUGAAAUAAAGUCUUCUUUCGUCACAACGCAUCCUGAGAAGAAGAGUGUCAAUUCCUACAUUAUAUUUUGUAAAUGUCGAAUUAUAUAUCUGAAAUCUGUUUUCGGAGAUCGAGUUUAACUGUUAUUUUUUCGUGUUUAUACAUAGAUUAAUGCAUGUAACAAUCUAUCAAAAUAAUCGGGCAAUUAAUAGUAAAAUAUUAAUGUAAUAAAUUAAUUGUAAUUAAUAAUUUACGUAAGUAAUGAUCAUCUACCAAUCUUAUCGUAUUUCUUAUUGUUCUUAUUGAUUUUAUCACUUCUCUUUCCAUGCUUUAAAAUUUUUCUGAACUACGAUUUUUUCCUCAGAAAAAUCGUUUGUAUUAUGGAUAUGACAUCCGAAUUAAUUUCUAAUUCAUAUUAUGUGAUACAAAAACUCUCAUGGUAUUUCUUGAAAAGUUGCUGAGAAAAAUUAACUUUUAAUACAGUUAAAGAACACGCGAGUUUUCAAGAGAAAUUUGUUGAGGCAGCUUUGGGGUUUCUAUGCGGCAUGUGCCUCGCUACGAAACGAACGCAAUGCCCUUGGAAAUCCCAAAGGAGUCCAACGCAUCGCACCAAUCUGGAAGAAACUCGGAAGAAUGUACGAAAUAGGACUCACCUCACGUAAAUUUCGUCUUUCGGUUCUCUUAUAUAUUCUUUUUCUUCGGAAUCUCAGAUCACUCAGAAGUUUAUGCGAAGGAGUAAAAUCGAUGUCUGGAAUUUCCUCAUCUGUCUGUGAUUCACUCAUCUUUCAGCGAGACGUCUUCAAGACGGUAUCACCUUUGCAAGACUUGGCCAAGCGACAAACACCGCACUGAUACUGUCUAUCCACAGAAACGUAGAAACACUAGACCUUCACUAAACAGUAAAAUCCAAACAACCACCGUCGGUUGAAGGACACAUUGCUUGGGACAAUCAUCACAUCACAGAAAGAAGGAAUUUACAAGGUCGAUAUUCCCAGAUGUAACAAGACUGUUGUACACAAAAUACGAAUAUAAUACAAUAAGGUACAAAUGACAAUACAUAUUACCAGAAAUAAAGAAUUUAUUUUAAACGU